GACUCAUGCAGAAAGACAGAUGGUUGAAGCAGUUUCAGUUCUUCUCAUCAAGUAAUGAAGAGAGAUCUUAAAUCUUUUCCAGGAAAGGGUCAAGAAAUAGCGCCCAAAGCAAAAAAAAAAAAAAAAAACAAUAUUAAUAUCCUAUCAAAGUCUAAAAUAAAAUCUAGUCCAGACAUAAAACACAAAAACUUCCUGCUGCAGGAGACAUGAAACCAGGUUUGAAAAACCUGCACGACAACCUGAAUCAACCCAAAAGGUAAAAACACCUCCAAAAUCUUCAAGCAUCAGAUCCACCUGUAGGAGAAGUUCCCUGUUGCUUGAACUCUGCAUCAACUUUCUUCAAGAACUGAUCCCAACCACUCCCUGGACUAGUAUCCAAAUAAUCCUGUGGAACUGCUGUUUUCAGCCCUGGCCGAAUUCCACAUUGGCUCUCCACAAUUCUGAAGUCCACACUGUUCCCUUCUCUCGCAUUCUGCCCUAAUUCCUCCCAAGUAAAAAGCAAUGGAAGUGUAAAUGCACCCCAAGGAUUAAAAUCCACAAUUUUAACACGCUCAUCCCUGGUGACAUAAAUAUCAAAUGUGUAAUUCUCUGACUCAAAAUUCAGCCUCACAUUAUCCAUAAAAAAAUUCUCAAUCAGCAGUUGAAGAUCACUUUUCUUCUCAAGGAGAACAGGAUAAAAUGUAGUGACUUCACGCUGUGAGAUGCCAACGAGGUGAUGACCCCAAACAAAGCAACGGAAUUCCAUCUCAGGCAACAAAGAUGAAUACCACUUGCGGAGUGCAAGGAAGAAACUUGGGGGUCUUGACAUGGUUUUGUUGCUGCAUGAAUCAUAGGCAUGGCACAAAUCAUGGACCAACGAAUCAGAUGACCGAAGCAAUAAUGCAAUCUCACUGAAUGAAGUGCAACAGAGGGUUCCAGAUGUGCUAAUCCAAGCUGAGUCUUUUGGGGAACUCCAGUUCAGCUUAGGAAAAACUGCACCUCCAAGGAUUUCAAUUGAUUCCUUAAUCUUCAAUUCAAGUUCUGGGAAAGAUGGGGGUGAUACAGGUUGCUCUGCUUCAUCUCCUGACCCUUCUGACACUUGAUAAUCCUCUUCAUCUAUAGGAUUAUGAAUUCUAUUGGGUAAAGCAUCUUCAUUAGAGACAGAAAUGGGUAGUAUAAAGGGCCCUACAUCAUCAAGAAGGUACUCAACAAAAGAUUCUGGAAGCUCAUGAAUUAUAGUUCUGAUAGAUACAGACUUGAAUUUUGGGUACCAUUCCUGAAUCUGGCACCAGUUCACUUCUUCUGUCCUCAUCGUCAAGAUAAUAAACAACCUUGUAUUUAUGUAACUACUGCUUUAUUGACCUCCUCACUCAGUUUAAUAGUAUUCGAAUUGGGGAAAUGUUUGAAUCUCCCUCGAAUGGACUUCCUCCAAUCGGGUAAUUCUUGGGUCAGUGAAGAUACUGAAACUCUGAAAGAGAACGACUUGGAAAGAAGGAAGCGAGGAAGAGGUGUAAGUAGCUAUUACGACUCCUGCAGUUCAAUCUAAACAGAUAACAACUGUAACGGCUUGAAAGUAGUGGCUGGUGAAUGGAAACGUCGGGAAUAGAGAGGGAGAACGCCAAAGGUGACCGACAAUGAUGGUGGCGGCCUCAAAGCAAUCAGUUUCCGGUGGAUGAAGGGCAGAAAUUUUGUAAGAGAAAAGAAACCGAAACUGCGAUGCGAUGGCGCCUCUCGCCUCGACCGACAGUGGGAUUAAAACGACGUAGUUUAGAACUAAAGGGUUUUUCUCAUGUAAACGACGUAGUUUAUUUCUUUACUUAACUCGGGCUCGGAGUCAUGUGCCUGAGUUUGCACCCCAAGUAGCUAGCUACUGAGAUGAACAUUGGGAGAACCAAUCUCCACGCGGCGAAUUAACUCGAAUCGCUCAUCAUCUCCGACGAGAAAAGGAAAUAUGUUUCUCAAAGUACAGUUGCCUUGGAAUGUUAUAAUCCCUGCUGAGAACUUGGAUGCUAAAGGACUGAUGCUCCAAAGGUCAAUUGUUGUCCGCUUGUUAGAAGAUUUUGCUAGUAAAAAAGCUACCAAAGAUUUGGGUUAUUACCUUGCUGUCACCACUUUGGAGAACAUAGGGGAGGGAAAAGUGAGGCAGCACACUGGGGAUGUGCUAUUUCCAGUUGUAUUCAGUGGCAUCACUUUCAAGAUUUUCAGGGGUGAGAUUCUGGAAGGGGUUGUUCACAAAGUGCUCAAGCAUGGUGUUUUCAUGAGAUGUGGGCCAAUUGAGCAUAUAUAUCUCUCUUAUAUGAAAAUGCCAGAUUACCGUUAUGUGCCUGGAGAGAAUCCAGUCUUUCUGAACGACAAGAUGUCAAAGAUUGAAAAGGAUGCAGUGGUGAGAUUCAUCGUUAUUGGAACAAAGUGGUUAGAGGCGGAAAGGGAGUUUCAGGCAUUGGUCAGCUUGGAGGGUGAUUAUCUUGGACCAGUGUCCUAGAUGCCUGCCUUCUAUUUUGCUGGAUAUGCAUGUAAAUCUUUUUAAUAUGUUGGAUUAAACUUAGCCUACCGGAAGCAUGAUAGUUUCUUUUGGAGCAAUAGAUAUUCCUGGAGGCCUUAGCUCCUAGUCAUCGCAUCUCUCGCUAUCUUGAGUUAUUGCAACUGUAGUGAUCUAAGUUUGGCUAAUGCUGGUGGGUGCUAGUGUCAUGAUAGCUAUAUUAUGUUAACUGUAUUAGUUGAUUAAAAUGUGUAACAUGCUAAUUCCAGCAUAAAGGGUGACCCAGUGCAUGAAAUAUCCCAUAAUUGUGGGCUUUGUGAAGGGUUGACUUGUACAGCCUUAUCCCUAUUUUGCAAAGAAACUGUUUUCAUGUGUUAGUUCUCAAAGGAUUCUUUCAUGACUACGCUUGAUGCAAACUUGAAAAAUACUAGAACUACUUUUUUGAUUCAAAUGAAC
rnacentral:misc_RNA from 1 species